AUGCUGCGGCUAGGUGUUGAAAAACCCACGUCUGGUUGAGGGGAACAGGGAUUCAUCCGUGAGCCGCAGUGGUUGGUUGGCCACAGAGACACUCAAGGGCUGGAGGAGAAAUCCGAGAGCGGUGCAGACGCGGGAGCCGAGAGCCGGGACCCAGGAGCGGAGGUUGUGUUUACAAAAGUAAUGGAGAAGUGGAUGGGGCUCCGGAGACCCAGGACUGCUGCUUUACAGGUGCAAAAGGAGAAGGCAGGGCUGGUGGGAUCAGGACACAAGGGAAUUACUGUGGGCUGGAUCAGGCACUGGUACCGCAAGCUCACAGGAAACCUUGGUGUGAGAGAACUACUUGAAACAAGAUAGCUCAGUGGAAGAAGAAAGCCAGACAGCCUUUUGCACAACCAUUGUCGACAUCAGCCGAUGACCAGAAGCAGCAACCAGGAAUUGUGGAAAGACGACACCAAGACAGCUGCAAAAAGGAGGGAAAAAAGAAAAGAAGAACAGAAAAAUUGUAUAAGAAAACACUGAUUAAUCUUUUAGCCUUUCUAGCUUGUGUUCUAUUAUAAACCGUUCAGCUCUCAGCGCAGUGGUUAAUGUGGUUUUCUGUUGCAUUCCUUCCUAUCAAUAGCACCUCAGUAAUAAUGGCUGAAAUCUGCUAGCAAGUACAGAGGAAAACAAGCACCGGCCUCAUAAUGAAUUCCAACUCUUUGUCAUUACACACAAUUGUUCCUGAACUGAAUGCUUAAGCCAACAAACAGCCAAUUGUCAACGUCUAGCCACCUGUUUAACAUUCCCCCAAAAAUGAUUGAUCAAGGGUACAAAAAUAGAUGAUUUGUACUUCAGUUGUGGUUACUCAUUUAUCUAUUGAUAUGACAAAUAUUCAAACAGUACAGCCCUUUCAUAUCUGAAAGUAAACAGAUUAAAAGCUGUAAGAAUUCCAAUAAAAAAU